GGUGAACGCUGGCGGUAGGCCUAACACAUGCAAGUCGAACGGCAGCACAGUAGGAGCUUGCUCUUACGGGUGGCGAGUGGCGGACGGGUGAGGAAUACAUCGGAAUCUACUUUUUCGUGGGGGAUAACGUGGGGAAACUUACGCUAAUACCGCAUACGACCUACGGGUGAAAGCAGGGGAUCUUCGGACCUUGCGCGAUUGAAUGAGCCGAUGUCGGAUUAGCUAGUUGGCGGGGUAAAGGCCCACCAAGGCGACGAUCCGUAGCUGGUCUGAGAGGAUGAUCAGCCACACUGGAACUGAGACACGGUCCAGACUCCUACGGGAGGCAGCAGUGGGGAAUAUUGGACAAUGGGCGCAAGCCUGAUCCAGCCAUACCGCGUGGGUGAAGAAGGCCUUCGGGUUGUAAAGCCCUUUUGUUGGGAAAGAAAAGCAGCAGGUUAAUACCCCGCUGUUCUGACGGUACCCAAAGAAUAAGCACCGGCUAACUUCGUG
rnacentral:rRNA from 1 species